GACGGUUUAUCAGAUGGACCGGGAAUAGGGUUCGAUGUGAACCGGAUGCCUGGAGUGGUGGCCUCGGCUGAGGAGGCAGAAGAUACGGCGGCGCCGCUAUCAUCUCCGAACAGCACGGUUUCAUCGUUUCAGAUGGAUUUUGGAAUGAGAAGUGGAGGAAGAUCGAGUAAAAGAGAUUUGGAGGUCGAUGCCGACAGAGCGAGUGAUGACGAGGAGAACGGGUCGACUCGGAAGAAACUCAGGCUCUCUAAAGAUCAAUCGGCUUUUCUUGAGGAGAGCUUCAAAGAGCACAGCACUCUCAACUCAAUCCUAAGCGAAAACUUGCUCUUGCUAAACAGUUGAAUCUUCGUCCUCGCCAAGUGGAAGUGUGGUUUCAGAAUCGAAGAGCAAGGACCAAGCUGAAGCAGACAGAAGUAGAUUGCGAGUACUUAAAGAGACGCUGUGAAACACUGACAGAAGAGAAUAGGAGGUUACAAAAAGAACUGCAAGAAUUAAGAGCUUUGAAGACCUCUCAGCCUUUCUACAUGCAGCUGCCUGCCACCACACUCACCAUGUGCCCCUCAUGUGAGCGCGUGGUCACAACUGCCUCAGCCAACACCUCCACCACCACCACCACCAACAACAACCACAUAAAGUCUGCUCAGAACAAGCAGCCAAGGUUAAAUCCAUUUGCUGCUCAGGUCCACAUGCAGCAGUGUCAAGGUGCAGCUGCAUGAGAUGUCAACAUAGAAUCUGAUAUCCUGCGCUCUCCAUUCCAUUUGUAUAUAUUUUGGCUUGGAGUUGGGUUUUAUUUUGUCUUUUGUUCUCUUAAUUAUUUUUAUUUAUUUUUAGGUUUGGUUUUCCCAAUCUUUGUCUCUGUGGUUUCUCCUUACAAGUCCUAGAAACCAUAGACGGAAAGGUUGAUAUGAUAUAUUUUUAUUAUUGAUGAGGAAAUUAGACACAAUUUUGCUAGAAAUGCCCUUUAAAAUGGUUUUGUUGUU